rnacentral:rRNA from 1 species
GGCCUAACACAUGCAAGUCGAGCGGGCCCUUCGGGGUCAGCGGCGGACGGGUGAGUAACGCGUGGGAACGUGCCUUCUGGUCUGGAAUAACCCUGGGAAACUAGGGCUAAUACCGGAUACGCCCUUUUGGGGAAAGGUUUACUGCCGGAAGAUCGGCCCGCGUCUGAUUAGCUAGUUGGUGGGGUAACGGCCUACCAAGGCGACGAUCAGUAGCUGGUCUGAGAGGAUGAUCAGCCACACUGGGACUGAGACACGGCCCAGACUCCUACGGGAGGCAGCAGUGGGGAAUAUUGGACAAUGGGCGCAAGCCUGAUCCAGCCAUGCCGCGUGAGUGAUGAAGGCCUUAGGGUUGUAAAGCUCUUUUAUCCGGGACGAUAAUGACGGUACCGGAGGAAUAAGCCCCGGCUAACUUCGUGCCAGCAGCCGCGGUAAU